rnacentral:misc_RNA from 1 species
CGCACCUUGCGCUCCUUGGUAUUCCGAGGAGCAUGCCUGUUUGAGUGUCUUGAAGUCAUCAACCCCGACCUUUCGUUUCGCGAGGGGCCGCGGUUGGAUCUUGGGGGAUCUUUGCCGACGCUUGCGCCCGGCUCCCCUCAAAUGCGUCGGUUGGGCCUCUGGGUCAAACUCGAUCGGGCGUUGUACCAUCCUCGCUCCGGAGAGAACCCGCGCGCACCCUUCCUCGACCUUGCCCAUCUAGCUGUGGGCGGUCAAUCGACCUUUUUGAAAUCUGACCUCAAAUCAGGCAGGACUACCCGCUGAACUUAA